rnacentral:tRNA from 2 species
CGGGGCGUGGCUCAGUCCGGUAGAGCGCGUGGUUUGGGACCAUGAGAUCGGAGGUUCGAAUCCUCUCGCCCCGA